UGGGGAAUCUUGCGCAAUGGGCGAAAGCCUGACGCAGCGACGCCGCGUGGGUGAUGAAGGCCUUCGGGUUGUAAAGCCCUGUGGGGAGGGAAGAAUAGGCGCCGGACAAUACCCGGCGUGAUGACGGUACCUCCUUAGCAAGCACCGGCUAACUCUGUGCCAGCAGCCGCGGUAAGACAGAGGGAGCGAACGUUGUUCGGAAUUACUGGGCGUAAAGCGCGUGUAGGCGGUCUUGCAAGUCGGGCGUGAAAGCCCUGGGCUCAACCGAGGAAGUGCGCUCGAAACGGCAAGACUGGAGUGCCGGAGAGGAUGGUGGAAUUCUCGGUGUAGAGGUGAAAUUCGUAGAUAUCGAGAGGAACACCGGUGGCGAAGGCGGCCAUCUGGACGGAAACUGACGCUGAGACGCGAAAGCGUGGGUAGCAAACA
rnacentral:rRNA from 1 species